rnacentral:lncRNA from 1 species
AAUGGUAGUAUUACAACCCCAGUCUCUCAGAAGGACAGGGUCACACACAGAUGGGCCUUACAUCUGCACAAAGCUCUGAAGCUAAGCUUUAUGGAGAUAUAAGAACCAUUCAGCUGUGACCUUCCUAUCUGGUUUUACAGCAGGGAGCAAAGCCUCAAUUUGCCCCCCCCUGCUGUAUAAAAUGUUUAUACAUUUAUACAAAAGGGACACGUGAGUGUGUGUGUCUCUGUGUCUGUGCAUAUGUGCACGUGUGCACAGCAUUUCAUAUAUGUUCUUGGAAUUCAGUUUUACAAUGAAGGCUAUUUUAUUUCAUCACUGCUGUUAUGAGGGCCAGGACAGAUACUGUGUGGGGAUGUGGACGGUGGAUGCGGGUCACCUGGAGCUCACCUGGAUGCAGAGUGCACGGAUCCUUCCGUCCCGUCUCCUCAGACAAACUCAUCACACUCGGGAUGCGUGUGGCUCAAUAGCCACUCUUGGCAUCCCAUACUCAUAUCCCUGACUAGUGACAGACAGACAGCAGCGCCAGCCAAUGGGCACACAGCCUCCGCUUCGCCUGCCUCCCUACCUGCCUGCUUGCAACUUCACAAAGUCUGGGCCGCUCCUGCCAACAGACGCCCUCCUAGAACCUGGCUCUCCAUUCGAACCUGGGAACCCACUUUUAAGCCCCCCACACACGCCUACCCCAACUGUGAUGAAGCCAACCGCGCUCCCAAACCACGGUUAGGGUUAACGUCCCACUUGGGAGGCAUGGUCUGGUGCCCAUGUGGACACGGACCAAAAGGGAACAUGCGAGUCUGCUCCUUUCCGGACACUGUCCACGACGGAACAUGCGAGUCUGCUCCUUUCCGGACACUGUCCACGACGGAACAUGCGCGUCUGCUCCUUUUCGGACACUGUCCACGACGGAACAUGCGAGUCUGCUCCUUUCCGGACACUGUCCACGACGGAACAUGCGAGUCUGCUCCUUUCCGGACACUGUCCACGACGGAACAUGCGAGUCUGCUCCUUUCCGGACACUGUCCACGACGGAACAUGCGAGUCUGCUCCUUUCCGGACCCUGUCCAC